rnacentral:rRNA from 1 species
AAACGAGAAUCCAUUGAACCUUAUCAUUUAAAGGAAGGAGAAGUCGUAACAAGGUUUCCGUAGGUGAACCUGCGGAAGGAUCAUUGUCGAAACCUGCAAGGCAGACCGCGAACACGUGUUUAACUCCGCGGGGCCGUCGUGAGGCGCGAGCCCCACGUCGAUCCCGCUCCCGGCGCUGCGCGCGCACUCGUGCGCCGCAGCGUUCGGGCUAACUCACCCCGGCGCGGAAUGCGCCAAGGAAAACAAAAUGAAGCGUCGGCCCCCUGCAUCCCGUUCGCGGGUCGUGCGGGGGUAGCGGGCGUCUAUCGAAUAUCAUAACGACUCUCGGCAACGGAUAUCUCGGCUCUCGCAUCGAUGAAGAACGUAGCGAAAUGCGAUACUUGGUGUGAAUUGCAGAAUCCCGUGAACCAUCGAGUCUUUGAACGCAAGUUGCGCCCGAGGCCAUUCGGCUGAGGGCACGUCUGCCUGGGCGUCACGCAUCGUGUCGCCCCCUCCACCCGCGCACCGCGCUCUUGGACGGGGCGGAUAUUGGCCCCCCGUGUGCUCCGGCGCGCGGUCGGCCCAAAUGCGAUCCCCCGGCGACUCAUGUCGCGGCCAGUGGUGGUUGAACAUCUCAAUCUCGUGUCUUGCCACCUCGUUGAUCCGUCGGGUCAGAUUUCUUUAACGACCCAACGUUGCCGACACACUCCUUGCACGCGCGUCCUCCAACCGCGACCCCAAGUCAGGCGGGGAUUACCCGGUGGAGUUUUA